AUCGCAAAAAAGGGGAGCUUGGUAUAGCCAGGCUGAGAGGAUAGCCAGUAAUGCUAUCGACUCCAUAACCUGAUCUGGAUAAUGCCAGCGAAGGGAAAAUAAAAGACUUAACC
rnacentral:ncRNA from 1 species